rnacentral:tRNA from 1 species
CAGUUGGCUUUUAACCAAUUGGUCGAAGGUUCGAAUCCUUCACGACCCACCA